GAUGAACGCUAGCUACAGGCUUAACACAUGCAAGUCGAGGGGAAACGACAUCGAAAGCUUGCUUUUGAUGGGCGUCGACCGGCGCACGGGUGCGUAACGCGUAUCCAACCUGCCCACCACUUGGGGAUAACCUUGCGAAAGUAAGACUAAUACCCAAUGAUAUCUCUAGAAGACAUCUGAAAGAGAUUAAAGAUUUAUCGGUGAUGGAUGGGGAUGCGUCUGAUUAGCUUGUUGGCGGGGUAACGGCCCACCAAGGCAACGAUCAGUAGGGGUUCUGAGAGGAAGGUCCCCCACAUUGGAACUGAGACACGGUCCAAACUCCUACGGGAGGCAGCAGUGAGGAAUAUUGGUCAAUGGACGAGAGUCUGAACCAGCCAAGUAGCGUGCAGGAAGACGGCCCUAUGGGUUGUAAACUGCUUUUAUAAGGGAAUAAAGUGAGUCUCGUGAGACUUUUUGCAUGUACCUUAUGAAUAAGGACCGGCUAAUUCCGUG
rnacentral:rRNA from 1 species